GCGGCUUCCGCGUCGCUUCCCGGUCAGCUGGGUCCUUAGCGGGAGCGGGAGUGCGGGCGGUGGCUGGCUUGGCGGCGGGGCAGGAUUCCCGGCAGGAGACCUGCCUCUCAGGUGGCAGGCUCUGCGACCCUGCGAGAUGGACGGGACGGAAGGCAGUGCCGGGCAGCCCGGCCCCGCUGAGCGGUCCCACCGAAGCAGCGUGUCCUCCGUGGGAGCCCGAGCGGCUGACGUGCUGGUAUACCUGGCGGAUGACACGGUGGUGCCCCUGGCUGUGGAGAACCUGCCCUCGCUCAGUGCCCAUGAGCUGCACCGCGCCGUCCGCGAGGUCCUGCAGCUUCCAGACAUUGCCCUGGAUGUCUUCGCGCUCUGGCUGGUCUCCCCUCUGCUGGAGGUGCAGCUGAAACCCAAGCACCAGCCCUACAAGCUGGGACGCCAGUGGCCAGAGCUGCUGCUGCGCUUCACCAGUGCCCCGGACGACGACGUGGCCAUGGGUCAGUGCUGCUGCCUGUCUGUCCUUGCCUCGGGACCACCUGAGUCUGCAGCUCUGGCUCCCAGCCCAGCCAGGGCCCUGC
rnacentral:sRNA from 1 species